rnacentral:tRNA from 1 species
GGAGAUGUAAUUCAAUAGUAGAAUACUUGCCUAGUAUGCACAAGGCCCUGGGUUUGAUCUCAGCACCCCUG